rnacentral:lncRNA from 1 species
UUCUCACCUGAGUUACUUAUUCUAUUUUAUAUUUUGGCAUGGCAUACUUAGGAAUAUGGUUAUGUGAAGCAUGAUUUGAAUUGAGAUAUUUAUAUAUACAUUUAUGCAUAUGUUUAUAUUCUAUUUCUGGGAAAAUUAUACAUGUUUUACGGUGAUGGGUUAGAGCAUUUUAAUGAUGAAAUAGUUUUGAAAAACAUUUGUUUUUUCCCACUCACGUUUUUUGUUUUGCGCCCCUCCAGGCUUUAGGUUGGAUUGCUGUUGGUGGCGUUUGAGGAUUUCGGCUGUUCUAACAAAUUAUAUAUUUAGUAGGACAUCUUCUGGUACUGUAUAAGUAGUACUUGUCCUACUGGACUGCACCUAGACUUUCUAUGCUCUGAUUAGGAGUAUUUACACUCGUAUCUCACUCUUAGCACUUCCUGUUUAUUAGUGCACAUUAGUAACUUUCGGUUUUUAUUUAUUCGUAUAAUUCUUAUCUUUAUUGCUUCCGCACUGUGCACAUGGCUACGUCACCCUCACGUGACGACCAGCAUGCCUCGAUCUCGGACGGAGUGUGUCAAAACCAAUACUAAGUUGGCCCAUUUGUGGGUCAGCUUUGGUUAUUGCCUUUUACCCUCUUAGGGGUUCGGUUUUGGAAUUCAUUGGUCGUUGUGUAAACAACGUAGCUGCAAUGACUGAGUUGCCCCCACCCAUCAAACGUGGCACCCAUUGACCAUUUUAAUCAUGCAGGCUAAUAUGCAAGGAAUAGGAUCCUCUUUGGAUUCUUUUUGUGGAUAUCAGGAAGAUCAAUCAAUCGUGUCCGUUCAUCGUAUAUCGUGUGUGGUUAAAAAUUAUUUUAAAAUUGAAUAUAAAUAGUACCUAAUGAAAAAUAAUCGUACGAUGUAUGAUGAAUAGACACAAUUGAUUGAUCUCCGAAUCCCCACAAAAAGGAUCCGGAAAGGAUUCUUGUCCAAUAUGCAUGCA